rnacentral:rRNA from 1 species
UACGGAGGGUGCAAACGUUGCUCGGAAUCAUUGGGCGUAAAGCGCACGUAGGCGGUCCAGCAAGUCGGGUGUGAAAGCCCUCGGCUUAACCGAGGAAGUGCAUUCGAAACUGGCAGUCUUGAGUACGGGAGAGGGUCGCGGAAUUCCCGGUGUAGAGGUGAAAUUCGUAGAUAUCGGGAGGAACACCAGUGGCGAAGGCGACUACCUGGCCUGUUCUUGACGCUGAGGCGCGAAAGCUAGGGGAGCAAACGGG